GACGAACGCUGGCGGCGCGCCUAACACAUGCAAGUCGAACGGAGCUGAGAGAAGCUUGCUUUUCUUAGCUUAGUGGCGAACGGGUGAGUAACGCGUGAGUAACCUGCCCUGGAGUGGGGGACAACAGUUGGAAACGACUGCUAAUACCGCAUAAGCCCACGAUCCGGCAUCGGAUUGAGGGAAAAGGAUUUCUUCGCUUCAGGAUGGACUCGCGUCCAAUUAGCUAGUUGGUGAGGUAACGGCCCACCAAGGCGACGAUUGGUAGCCGGACUGAGAGGUUGAGCGGCCACAUUGGGACUGAGACACGGGCCAGACUCCUACGGGAGGCAGCAGUGGGGGAUAUUGCACAAUGGGGGAAACCAUGAUGCAGCGACGCCGCGUGGAGGAAGAAGGUUUUCGGAUUGUAAACUCCUGUCGUGAGGGACGAUAAUGACGGUACCUAACAAGAAAGCACCGGCUAACUACGUG
rnacentral:rRNA from 1 species